CGAACCCCAGCGGGAGAGUCUCCGGCCCACGAGGCCGGGGCGCCGAAGGAGCAAAUCUCCCCAAGAAUCUCUCAGGCACCCUGACCGCUGGGACGAG
rnacentral:ncRNA from 1 species